rnacentral:lncRNA from 1 species
ACAUUUGUGUUUGUGCAUGUUUGUGAGAAGCCUCAGAGCCAAUCCUGAAGCUGCGACCAAAGAGAAGUACAUCAGGAAGACAGAACCCACUGCAGCGUAAAAUCAGUGCGCCCCCUGCUGUCAGAGCAUCUGACUCUAUGGGGGGAGCCUCCAGUUCUACUCCAGUAUCUUUAAAAAGUUCAUCAGCAGAUACAAAAAUGAGCCAUCAAGAGCCACAGACCUAUAGCACAUCAUCACCACAACGGGAUGAAUCUCCUGUACACACCAUGCUCUGGACUAGAUAUGAACAGCCGGUCUUUGCCUUGCAUCCACCUGUUCUUGCAGGUAACACACAACAUUCACUAAUCUUGAGACCAGAAAAUCAGUGUAAAUGAGAAAAUAACCUAAUUUGCUCUUUCUCUCUCACAG